rnacentral:rRNA from 1 species
CUAACAAGGAUUUCCUUUAGUAACUGCGAGUGAAGAGGGAAAAGCUCAAAUUUAAAAUCUGGCAGUGUUUCACUGUCCGAGUUGUAACCUAGAGAAGUGUAACCUGCGCUGGACCGUGUAUAAGUCUCCUGGAAUGGAGCAUCACAGAGGGUGAGAAUCCCGUCUUUGACAUGGACUACCAGUGCAUUGUGGUUGCGCUCUCAACGAGUCGAGUUGUUUGGGAAUGCAGCUCUAAAUGGGUGGUAAAUUCCAUCUAAAGCUAAAUAUUGGCGAGAGACCGAUAGCGAACAAGUACCGUGAGGGAAAGAUGAAAAGAACUUUGGAAAGAGAGUUAAACAGUAUGUGAAAUUGUUGAAAGGGAAACGUUUGAAGUCAGUCGCGUUGGUUGGGGAUCAGCCUGACAUUGUUGGGUGUACUUCCUGGUCGACGGGCCAACAUCAGUUUUGACUGCCAGAAAAAGAUCAAAGGAAUGUGGCACCUUUGGGUGUGUUAUAGCCCUUGGUCGUAUAUGGUGGUUGGGACUGAGGAAAGCAGCGUGCCAAAAGGCCGGGUUUCGACCACGUUCACGCUGAGGAUGUUGGCAUAAUGGCUUUAAGCGACCCGUCUUGAAACACGGACCAAGGAGUCUAACAUGCAUGCGAGUGUUUGGGUGGAAAACCCUUACGCGUAAUGAAAGUGAAAGUUGAGAUCCCUGUCGCGGGGAGCAUCGACGCCCGGACCAGAACUUUUGGGACGGAUCCGCGGUAGAGCACGUAUGUUGGGACCCGAAAGAUGGUGAACUAUGCCUGAAUAGGGUGAAGCCAGAGGAAACUCUGGUGGAGGCUCGUAGCGAUUCUGACGUGCAAAUCGAUCGUCAAAUUUGGGUAUAGGGGCGAAAGACUAAUC